GUGAAUCAUCGAAUCUUUGAACGCACCUUGCGCCCUCUGGUAUUCCGGAGGGCAUGCCUGUUUGAGUGUCAUGCUAUACUCAACCUCCCUGGUUUAUGAUCGGGAUGGGUUGGAUCUGGGUGUUGCCGUCCUCCGGCUCACCUUAAAUGUAUUAGCGGGCUCAGAAGCCCCGAACUAGCGUAAUAAGUUUCGCUGGCAAGGGUGUGGACGACCGCUCACAACCGCCUUAGGGCAACUUUAUGACUUUGGCCUCAAAUCAGGUAGGACUACCCGCUGAACUUAAGCAUAUCAAUAAGCGGA
rnacentral:misc_RNA from 1 species